GAGUGAGGUCAAAGUAUGGGAAAAGGUCAUGUGGUGAUUGCAGGGUCAGUAAAACAUGACUUUCAAGUCUUCAUAAAUUAGCGCACUGCCCAUCGGACAGGAUGGAGCCCACGAGCCGAGUGAGCAGUCGUGGGAGGCCCAUUAGCCAUGUGCGGAUGGGGUGCUGCAAGUGGUAUCAGAGCCAAAAACAGACGAAUGUGGAGUCAGUGAGAGCUCACACUAACAUAUGGGUAACGAUCUUGGGGCGCAACAAGGACGUUGCGUUCUUUGAGAGGAGGUGAAUUGUAACAUCCCGUUUGUGGUAUAUCAAAAAGGUUUAAGAGAAUUGAUUUUGCUACCUAUAUCAUCAAAGUGCACUUACCUUUCCGUACACACAUCAGUUUAGAACUCUAGAGUUACGCGUGCUUAAGCUGAAGUAGUGGAAGGAUGGAUGAACUAUCGGGAAGUGAUUCACGAUAUCGUGCGAGUAAGUCCAAACCAUGGGGAUAGGUCACGUGGUGAUUCCAUG
rnacentral:lncRNA from 1 species